UUCUCUCCGCCUCAACUUUUUAUUUUUCUCUUUUUCGCCUGCGCUGUCCAUUCUGUCUCCACCCUGCUAGGCCGCACGCUUCAACAACUUUAACUUUAACAACUAGAUAAACAAGAACAAAAGACUUCACCUCUGAAGUUGAGAGCAGCCUUCCUGGAGCACAGUUAGACAUCACAGAGCUGUGAUCAUACGCACCACGAUGAAACGGAGCCUGAUAACAGCUUUAAUUCUCUGCAGCAUCAGCUGGAUCUCUGUCUCAGGUUCUGAGUCUCACACUGAGACUGUGGAGGGUCGGCCGGGUGGAGAAGUCACACUCACAUGCUCUAACCCGUCCAACCAAGACGCUACAACACUCUGGUUGAGAGUGGUCAACAGAACCAAGGCCAGCUGGAUCUCCACGAUGACCAGCUCUACAGGAACACCUCUAUACAGUGAUGGAAUUAAAAAUGUUAGAUUCAAAAUGAGUACCAACAUCUCCACUCUCUCUCUCCAAAUCAAAGAUGUGAAUGUAUCUGACUCUGGACUGUAUUUAUGUGGUCUUUACACCGGAGGACGUUAUAAUUUCAGCACAAUAUACGUCAAUGUUAAAGGCAGCGAUGAAUCUCAUGACGACGACAGGAAGUCUAAAACAGAGUCUGAUGGAACAGCAAAGCUGAUGAGUUUGAUCCUGGGAGCUCUGACUGUUCUCCUCUUAAUGGUCAUCAUUGGUCUGGUUGUUACAAUCAGGAAACUUCAGAAAGCUGCCAAUGAAGAACAGAAUCCACAACAGCCUGAGAUUAGGUAGAGACUCAGCCAA